GCCCCGAGAGGCCGGGGCCGUCGCCGCGCCGCCCAAAUCCACCGCCGAAAGAGAAGAAAAAACCUUCGCAAAAAAAAAGAAAGAAGAAAAAAAAAGUCCCCCACUCUCUCCCGUGAAGAUGGCCUCGAGCUCCAGCAGCGGCGUUGGGGCGGAAGGCGGGGUCGGCGAGGGUCCGACGACGCUGGACGAGCUGUACCAGAUCAACGUGGUGCCGGCGGAGCUGCACUUCAAGUUCCGCAAGGAGCUCCAGGGCCUCCGCGUCGGCCUCAACCUCGAGUUCUUCAAUCUUGAGGUGAAUGAUUUUGAGGCGAAGGUAGUACUGAAGCCUCUAGAUUACGACCGGAAGUGGAAAUUCCAGUACAAGCCCAUCAAUGGUGACAUACAGCUGCUCUCCAAGAAGAUACCAGUUACAAAGUUUCUAAAUCUACAGGUUGGCAUCGGUCACAAUUUUCAUCUGAAUGCAACUGGAUGGAAAUGGAAGCUUUCCACUUGUCUUGGGGGAGAUGGUGUCUCUCAGAUAAGAAAUAAGUCUAAAAUCAGCAUGUUCCCAGGGUUUGAUUUGAGGAUUGGAUGGAGAGCUGAAUAUGUGCUUCCUGAGAUUCAUGGGUGAGUCUGGGUCAACGCUAACACUACUUAAAUUGCUUGACCAUUAGAAGCAUUCAUGCAGGAUCCUAGACUCAUCCAUAAAAAACCUACUACAUGAGGAACAUUUGAAGGCUCUUGGCACAGGAGAACCUGCCUUCAGUAUGAACUAUGGGCGGCUGCAUGCAUCGAUAGAUCGGUUAGAGGCCGUCGUUACCCAGUCAGAUCGGUACUGACCUUCCAUGGUGGAAGUCAAAAGGCAAGAGAGUUUCUUGAUCAACAGCAAACCUGCAAUGAUCUCACCCAGAUCCUAGGGUUUAUUAGGAGCAUUUUGAAGCUCCGUGUAUGAUGUACAGCAAUAGCAAACGUUCACGCUAGGACAACUUUGAGAAGCAUCUUGAGAUUCUCCAAACCCUAGGGCGGCUUUUCUUGUUUCUGAAAGCAUAUAACGAAAUAAUGUUCGAACUACUUGUGUUUGGCACUUAGGACGUUUAUCAAAGAACAUGCUCGCAUACA